rnacentral:antisense_RNA from 1 species
CGUUAUGGCGGCUGUGCGCGGAAGACCUUAGGGUCUGCCGGGCCGUACCCCGGGUUUCCAACCGCGUACAGCUGCCACCAUU